rnacentral:misc_RNA from 1 species
GGAAAGCAAAAAAGCAGUGCUUAGAUAUUUCCUUCUUUUCAUUUCUGCUGUAACCAUCGUCGUGACCAAGUACAUUGCACCUCUAAAUCAGCCAUCUCUGCUAGUAAACCAUGUCUUUCAUUGGCGAGGCUGCUCUAUCAGCUUUAGUUCAGGCACUUACUGAAAAGAUUGACUGCCCUGACUUGCUCAAUUUCGCUCGUGAAAGGCAACUUCUUCCCCACAUAAACAAGUGGGACAAACUGUUGUUUAAAAUCCAUGCUGUUCUUGAUGAUGCAGAGGAGAA